GACGAACGCUGGCGGCGUGCUUAACACAUGCAAGUCGAACGGGUCUGCCCUGUUUUUUGCGGGGUGGGUCAGUGGCGAACGGGUGAGUAACACGUGAGUAACCUGCCCCUCACUUCUGGAUAACCGCUUGAAAGGGUGGCUAAUACGGGGUGUUCUGGCUGUGCCGCAUGGUGUGGCUGGGAAAGAUUCACUUUUGUGGUGUUUUGGUGGGGGAUGGGCUCGCGGCCUAUCAGCUUGUUGGUGGGGUGAUGGCCUGCCAAGGCUUUGACGGGUAGCCGGCCUGAGAGGGUGGGCGGUCACACUGGGACUGAGAUACGGCCCAGACUCCUGCGGGAGGCAGCAGUGGGGGGUAGUGCACAAUGGGCGGAAGCCUGGUGCAGCGACGUCGCGUGAGGGAUGGAGGCCUUCGGGUUGUGAACCUCUUUCGCCGGUGAAGAAGGUCCUGCUCUUUGUGGUGGGGUUGACGGUAGCCGGGUUAUGAAGCGCCGGCUAACUACGUG
rnacentral:rRNA from 1 species